rnacentral:lncRNA from 1 species
AAAUUUUAUUUCUUGCUAAAUCAGAAGAUUAAGUUAACUCCUACAAGUUGACAUGUUCCAUUAAUACUUUUUCUAUCAAGUUUAUUACCCAUAAAAUUAGCAUCAAAAUUGUUGGGUAUAAAAUACCCUUGGCCGAAGUUCUCAGCGGGAUUGACCCUUGCAGGUCUCCUCCGACUUUCAACUACUGGUGGGCUCCGUCCAGAUUCCUACGGC